UACGAAGGGGGGCUAGCGUUGUUCGGAAUUACUGGGCGUAAAGCGCGCGCAGGCGGUCUUCCAAGUCAGUGGUGAAAGCCUGGAGCUCAACUCCAGAACUGCCAUUGAAACUGUUAGACUUGAGUACGAGAGAGGUGAGUGGAAUUCCCAGUGUAGAGGUGAAAAUUCGUAGAUAUUGGGAAGAACACCAGUGGCGAAGGCGGCUCACUGGCUCGUAACUGACGCUCAGGCGCGACAGCGUGGGGAUCGAAACAGG
rnacentral:rRNA from 1 species